UACGGAGGGUGCAAGCGUUAAUCGGAAUUACUGGGCGUAAAGGGAAUGUAGGUGGUGUCGUAAGUCAGAUGUGAAAGCCCUGGGCUCAACCUGGGAAGUGCAUUUGAUACUGCGGCGCUAGAGUGCGAGAGAGGAAAGGGGAAUUUCCGGUGUAGGGGUGAAAUCCGUAGAUAUCGGAAGGAAUACCGAUGGCGAAGGCACCUUUCUGGCUCGUAACUGACACUGAGAUUCGAAAGCAUGGGUAGCAAACAGG
rnacentral:misc_RNA from 1 species